UCAAAUGUUAUAUUUGAAGCAAUGUUUUAUUAAAACUGCUCCUGGCACAUUCUUAAAGGCAGUCACAUUUACAAUGUUUUUUUUUAAAAAAAAAAAAAAGAAAAAAAGAAGAAAAAUGUCGUUAUAAGCUUAAAAAGGGAGUGUAAAAGGAUAGUACUAAAGUGAAAAGUAACCCUUAUAACAGUUGGGUUGUGUGCUCAUUGCACUCUUGGCUAAUACUGAAAUAUACUUUACUCAGAUGUAGUCUCUGUGCAGUUGUGUAUAUGAAAUAGACUUUGUUCUGUGUCAAUUCUGCAUCUGGACUUGAAAAAAGAGCAAUUUCUGCAAAGAUCGGGUGCAAUUUACAAAUGAAUUUCCUUCACGCUCGACUGCUUCAUAAAAGAAUUUGUCCUGACUCAGAUUGAACACAGUUGAAUGAUCCUAUCCAUAUUUCCGUCUUCUUUACAAGACAAUGUUUUCCAUUUUCUCAAACACAGAAGUCUAAGAUUUCCAUGUUCUCAGGUGCAACAAGUGUUACUGAUUGGGCCUUUUUUUUCUGCCCCCAACCUCUUGUUAGGUUACAGACUGGAACAAAAUGACACUGGAAAGAACUCGUGUUUCUUCAAGGAUAAAGGGGAUCCUUUUGAGUGGGCCCUUAGGAGUGUCGCUUCCAGCCACACAGCAAACUACCCCAUCCCCGACAAACAACAAGUGAACCAGAGAUCUCCCCCUGUCCCAAUGCACUAG
rnacentral:lncRNA from 1 species